UUUAUUGGAGAGUUUGAUCCUGGCUCAGGAUGAACGCUGGCGGCGUGCCUAAUACAUGCAAGUCGAGCGAAUGGAUUAAGAGCUUGCUCUUAUGAAGUUAGCGGCGGACGGGUGAGUAACACGUGGGUAACCUGCCUAUAAGACUGGGAUAACUCCGGGAAACCGGGGCUAAUACCGGAUAACAUUUUGAACCGCAUGGUUCGAAAUUGAAAGGCGGCUUCGGCUGGCACUUAUGGAUGGACCCGCGUCGCAUUAGCUAGUUGGGGAGGUAACGGCUAAAACAGACAACAAUGCGUAACCAACACGAGAGGG
rnacentral:rRNA from 1 species